UACGGGGGGGGUAAGCGUUGUUCGGAAUUACUGGGCGUAAAGGGCUCGUAGGCGGCCAACUAAGUCAUACGUGAAAUCCCUCGGCUUAACCGGGGAACUGCGUCUGAUACUGGAUGGCUUGAGUUCGGGAGAGGGAUGCGGAAUUCCAGGUGUAGCGGUGAAAUGCGUAGAUAUCUGGAGGAACACCGGUGGCGAAGGCGGCAUCCUGGACCGAUACUGACGCUGAGGAGCGAAAGCCAGGGGAGCAAACGGG
rnacentral:rRNA from 1 species